GGGACAUAUGAUGAGAAACUGUUUGUCACUCACGACGGUCGUCUGAGACACUUUGUGUGUAUUGCUGCGAUAACACAUUCUCUGAUGUCC
rfam:Hordeum vulgare subsp. vulgare, WGS project CAJW01000000 data, contig: morex_contig_40864